rfam:Caldicellulosiruptor saccharolyticus DSM 8903, complete genome.
GUCGAUAAAGGCAAACCUGUCGAAAGGCAGGGGCGCAAAGCCAUGGGUCUGUCGGAAAAGGGUUUUUACCUUUUCCUAUGAUCGCCAGGCUGCCGAAA